UACGAAGGGGGCUAGCGUUGCUCGGAAUUACUGGGCGUAAAGGGCGCGUAGGCGGAUAGUUUAGUCAGAGGUGAAAGCCCAGGGCUCAACCCUGGAAUUGCCUUUGAUACUGGCUAUCUUGAGUUCGGGAGAGGUGAGUGGAACUCCGAGUGUAGAGAUGAAAUUCGUAGAUAUUCGGAAGAACACCAGUGGCGAAGGCGACUCACUGGCCCGAUACUGACGCUGAGGCGCGAAAGCGUGGGGAGCAAACAGG
rnacentral:rRNA from 1 species